rnacentral:lncRNA from 11 species
AUGGCCCUCCAGCCUCAGAUUUAAUAAUAAUAAGUCAAUAAAUAAUGGAGCUUUUCCCUUUCCUGCAAGUCGUUUCUGGUGUGUGAGAAUCAGCCGUCUACAAAGACCUUUCCUUAGUUUGCUGACUGUUUCCUCUGCUUUCUCCCAGCCUUGCGAGUCUUUGCAUUCCUAUUGCCAGGUUGCAGUCGACAAGCUGAUCCAAUCUGGGUUGAUAGUCGCCGAGGAGAUGUCCGGCGACCUCUUGCCCUGCGAUGCGACCCGGAAGCGGAAGCUGCUCUGGAAGCCGGCGGAGGAUUUUGGGGACAGCGACAGCGAUUUUGGGGACGAGCCUGGGAAGCAUUAUUUCAAGGUCAGCCAACUGGACAGCAGCUGCGCCCUUUUCGAGUUUCUCUGCUGCCUCCUGAGUCCGGUCCUGAAGACCCUGCAAAGAGCGGCUGCCUUUUUGAGGGAGGUCAAGGGUCCCCAGCCAGAGACGCAAUAUCUGGACGAUCUGUAUCAAUUCUUAGUGAAGAAGGCAAAAGAAGACAAUUCUUUCGAAUGUGCCGACCCGGACCCUGGCCGAAAUCUCAGUCAAAAUCUAUAAAGAAUUGGGGGUCCUGAAAGAGAUCCCAGCACAAAGCGGAACCGUUCUCUUCGUCUCCGAAAACUUUGCUUCCAAAGUGAACCAAGAGAAACUUGAGAAGUUUGUCCACCAAUUUAUUUACAACUAGGUUCCUAAACAUAACCAUGGAAAGUGAUAAUUUCUUCCACUUUCCUAGUUUGGAUAGUUAAUUGUUGACAGUUGGAAAGAGUUUUCUUUUGUUAAAGUGUUGCUAAAAACAAAACUUUUGUUUUGCUCUUUUUAAUUAUGUUUACCUUUUGUUGCUGAGAUUGUAUGGAUGAAUACAAUAAAAUCAGUAAUGUUUAAUGUCUGGUUUCUUAUGAGAUAAAUUAUACUUGUUGUCAAAAGCUUUCAUGGCUGGAAUCACUGGGUUGCUGUGAGUUUCCUGGGCUGUCUGUCCAUGCUCCAGAAGCAUUCUCUCCUGACAUUUCGCCCACAUCUAUGGCAGACAUCCUCAGAGGUUGUGAGGUCUGUUGGAAACUAGGCAAAUGGGGUUUAUAAAUCUGUGGAAUUAUGUCCAGGGUGUUAGAAAUAAUAAUUAAUAAUAAUAAUAAUACUGUAUAUACUCGAGUAUAAGCCUAGUUUUUCAGCCCUUUUUUUAAGACUGAAAAAGCCCUUAUAUACUCGGGUGAGGGUCCUGGUUGGCUUAUAUUUGGGUCAGCUUAUAUUCGAGAAUAUAUGGUACAUUUAUUAUUUUUCUCUGUUAUUGUUAGUAUUAUUACAUUUAUUAUUUUUCUCUAUUAUUAUUGGUACUAUUACAUUUAUUUUACUCUAUUUUUAUUAUUAUUAUUAUUAUUGCAUUUAUUAUUUUACUCUCUUUAUUAUCACUUGUAUUAUUUUCCUGUAUUUAUUAUUAUUAUUAUUAUUAUUACAUGUAUUAUUUUACUCUAUUAUUAUUAAAAGGAUACAUAAGCAGAUUUACAUUGAAGAAGAUGAGAAUAAUGAUUUGAUCAGAGUUGGACAGUCUUAUCUUAAAUUUGAGCUUUAUGUAAAUAUUCAAAAACAUUUAACCUACUGAUGCCUCAAGGAAUGUAAUUUUAUUGGUAUUUGUUUUUAUUUCUGAAAUUUACCACCCUCGGCUUAUACUGGAGUCAAUGUUUUCCCAGGGUUUUUUUUGGGGUAAAAUUGGGUGCCUCGGGUUAUAUUCGGGUGUAUGUAAUAGUAAUAGUAGCAACAAUAAUAGAGAAAAAUAAUGUAAUAAUACCAAUAAUAAUAGAGAAAAAGAAUAAAUGUAAUAAUACUAGUAGAGAAAAAGAAUAAAUGUAAUAAUACCAAUAAUAGAGAAAAAUAAUAAAUGUAAUAAUACCAAUAAUAAUAGAGAAAAAUAAUAAAUGGUUCCCGUCCCCUUGAUCUGGUCAUGUAAGUGUUAUUUAUUGUUAUAAUUGUAUCAUUUUACUUUGUUUAAUAAUGUGUUAUGUUGUUAUGUAAUGUUUGUGUUGCUUUUAUUACUGAGUCCCAUCCGGGAGAUAAGGCAGUAUAUAAAUAAAGUUGUAUUAUUAUUAUUAUUAUUAUUAUUAUUAUUAUUAUUAUUAUUAAAUGUACCAUAUAUUUUCGAGUAUAAGCUGACCCAAAUAUAAGCCAACCAGGGACCCUUACCCGAGUAUAAGCCGAGGGGGGCUUUUUCAGUCUUAAAAAAAGGGCUGAAAAACUAGGCUUAUACUUGAGUAUAUACAGUAAAUUGAUGAAGAUUUUCAAUGCCUGAUUACCAAGAACUUUCAAAACAUACUUUUUUUUGGGGGGUGGGUGGGAUUUAAAUCCUUCAUCUUUUAAAAAUAAUUGUAAAUUGUUCAAAGUCCAAUGUGCAUUUCCAAAUGUAUGAAGCUAUUUAAGGAAUCCUGAAGGUGUCCAUCGUUGCACCAAAUUUGGCCUUAAACCCUGAUUUAAAUCCGGCCCUUUCGGAAACAAUGGCUAAGACGCACUGGUUUGAUUUCAGUGUGAUUUUAGUGGCGAUUUUAUUGUAAUUUAAUUAACAGUCAAGGGGAAAUAUUGGUCACAUCCAAUAGGUCUAUCCAAAGGCACGGAUGAGAUGCAAAGUAUAAAGGACGCAUCUUCGGAGUCUUUGUUUACUUUUUUCCCCAUUGAAAUGUGCAGGAACCUACCAGUAGUUCUUGUGUUGCUUGAUGAGGAGGAAUAAAUCUUGUCUGAAUUCGUGAUGGAUGUCGGCAAAGGCACGCAGACUUCACACCACUUUGUUUCUGAUAGUUCCCAGUUCGUCGAUUUCGCACUCCACUUCGUCCCCUUUCUGCAAAGGAAAACAACUUACGUAACACUCUAGUUUUUGCUCCUGGGUUAUUAAUGUCUUU